CCUGCCUGCCCAGUGACCACAAAGUUUAACGGCCGCGGUAUCCUGACCGUGCGAAGGUAGCGUAAUCAUUUGUCUUUUAAAUAGAGACCUGUAUGAAUGGCAUAACGAGGGUUUAACUGUCUCCCUCCCCUAGUCAAUGAAAUUGAUCUGCCCGUGCAGAAGCGGGCAUAAAUACAUAAGACGAGAAGACCCUAUGGAGCUUUAGACGAAAGAUCAAACAUGUAAAGAAACCAAACUAACCAAAAGGAACACAAAGGCCACUAAACCCAACGUAAAAUGAUCCAAAUGUCUUCGGUUGGGGCGACCAUGGGGGAAAGAAAAGCCCCCACGAGGAACUAGGGGCAAUCCAUUAAGUCAAGAGAUACACCUCUAAGCAACAGAAAAUCUGACCAAAAAUGACCCAGGACACUAAUCCUGAUCAACGAACCAAGUUACCCUAGGGAUAACAGCGCAAUCCUUUCCCAGAGUCCAUAUCGAC
rnacentral:rRNA from 1 species